rnacentral:rRNA from 1 species
AUGAAGGGAGCGGAAACCACGGAGGAACUGCUCGCGAGGCUCACCCUGCAGGAAGAGGAAGAGGAUGAUUUCAUCUGGGAGGAGGAAUUGUCAGAUACGGCGGAACCGGCGAAGUGGCUGGCGAUAGCUAGGGUCCAUACAUCAAAAACCUUCAGUCCCAAUGUUUUGUAUGGGGACAUGAGGGCAGCAUGGAACCCGGCUAGACCGGUGGUGUGGAGGAAAAUCCAUGCUAAUCUCUUCACGGCGUAGUUUGGAUGCCUGGGGGACUGGAACAAGGCGAUGUUUGAUGGUCCAUGGUUGUUCAGAGAUCAGGCAGUGAUAUUGGAGGAGUACGACGGAUUUAAGAACCCAGAAUCGUUUAGGCUGGAUAAAUUAGCUGUUUGGGCACAAAUCCAUGGCCUACCCGAUAAGUUCUUGAUUGAGCCAGCAGUCAAAGGCUUGGCAACCAGGAUUGGGGAGGUGCAAGAGGUGCAGCUGAAGUUACCAGCAGGCUUUUUUGGCGAGUUUGUCAAGGUCAGGGUGAAGGUUGACAUCAACGCUAAGAUCAAGAGGUUUGUCACAUGGAAGAAGGGAGAAGAAAGGGUCCGUUAUCGGGUCAAAUAUGAAAAACCACCCGUCCUCUGCUUUAACUGCGGCGAGUUUGAGCAUUGGCAUGAGGAGUGUGGAGAUGGAGAGCACGAUGAAUCAAAGUUUGAGUGGGGGGAAUUUCUGUAUGCGGACACCACACGCUUCAGACCUGUAGGACGGGGGAACUUCACGCCACAGCGCGGUAGGGGAGGAGCCAGAUCAGGUGGGCGUGGAAGGGGUCGUGAAGCCCACAACCCUAAUUAG